GCUGACGUUAGUGAAAUGACAUUGUUUAGCUAGUUAAUGACAAAAUGAUGGCCAGCCGGAUAGCGCCUUGCUGCUAACGUUAGAUAUUGUGGCUAUACCGAGUUUUUAGCCAGGAUAAACAACCAGUUGCGUUUAUAACGUUAUAGCUAGCCAAUACAUGAUUUUCAACACAGCAUUGUUGAUUAGCAUGCUAUCCACUACUAUAAUAAGUUGGGAUAUCUUAUAUUGUCUAGCUUGCUGCUAACCCCAAUUGAACGGUAACUGCUUUGUAUACUGUAUUCCCUGGCGAUGGCUACUGUAGCUACCAGUCAACACAACAUGGGUAUACUUAUCUAUGUGAAGGAACAUGAACAUGGACCCUUGAACUCAAGAAAUGACAACACCCCCCCGGCACAAUCUAGUAACAUUUUUUUAGUUUUUAUCUGUUUUGUUUGGUUUUCCAUCUCUGUCUUUGAUGGAAAACAACUAAUUAUGUGGCAUUUUUCAUUCAGAUGACACUUAGCAACGCGGUCCAUGUCCAAUUCUAUCUCACUACUGUAAAGCCUGCUUGUCUCUUGAAGAGUGAUAUUUAAAUUCUACCUUGACACACCUUUCUCCUGCCUCCACAUAUCUCUCAUUUCUGUGGAAGAUCGGGACGUUUGACGUCAGCACUUACCACACAAUAUUCCACUGCAAUCUAGUGCUAAUUAAAUUGCUAUAGCCUCCUUGCAAGACCAAGGUGUGUUCAUUUUUGUCUGAUUCAUAGUUAAGAUUUGUUGUAUUUUAUGUUAUUUAAACUCUUGUUUGACAUGUAGCCGUCAUUUCUAAGCUGCACUUUAUUGAUAAAUAUCAAGAUCAUUUCAAACUGUAAUUUAAGCAUAUCUUUGAGUUAUGUAUAUUUUUUUUAUCUUUAGGAGUAUAUAUAUUCUGUUUUAAUUUUAAACUGGAAAAGUAUAUUGUUUUUGUUUACAAGCCUCAUCUGUCUAUCAUUCCGAAAUGGACAAAUCUAGAAUCUGAUAGCAUUUAAGGACAAGGC
ensembl:lncRNA